ACUGCCUCUUCUGCUUCUAGGAUGGCCGGGGUCACUGCAGUGCUGGUGCUGGUAGCCUGUUGGGCAGGUUCCACCUACCAGUUCACUUUGACUCAGCCAUCCAGCGCGUCAGUAGCUCCAGGACAAACUGUCAAACUGGCACGUGUUACAAGCAGCGGAAGCAGCAUCACUGAUCGUGUUGUACGCUGGUACCAGCAGAAGCCAGGGGAGAAGCCAAGAUAUCUGCUGUAUUACAGGGAUGAAUCUACAAAUCACAAAGGCUCUGGGGUCCCCAAUCGGUUUUCAGCUUCUAAAAGCACUUCCAAGAACACCUGCUUCUUAACCAUUGCCCAGGUCCAAGCAGAGGAUGAGGCUGAGUACUAUUGUUCUGACUGGGAUGGUUCCUCUAACCAGUACACAGUAGAAGAGCUGCAUGAAGUGGAGGAACAAAAACUCAUCCUCACCCCUGGCUGA